rnacentral:lncRNA from 1 species
UCUCUUCACAGCCAUUCUGUUUCCAGUCCUGAUUCUAAACCCUGAAGUCCAGCAGAAAGGAAUAGGUGCAGAAAGGAGAAAGCUGACUGUGGGCACUCAUUGUGUGCAGCCGUGAGCUCCAACCACCUCUUCUCUAAUGCCGACUUGAGCAUCGUGGUUAUGCAUCACUUAAAGGGCGCCCAUUCUGAGAAAUGUGUUAUUAGGUGAUUCCACUGUAUAAACAUCAGAGUGCAUUUGGAAUAAAACUAAAUGCUAAGGGCCACUCAGGGCUCUUGAUGCAAUUAAGGGAUGGGAAAAAUGAGACACGCCAGGAUGCUGGCGUGUAACCCAGGAGGGUGUUUCAGGGCAAACUGUUCUAGUAUGUAGAAGGAACUCACUGGGAAAUUAUGAUAAAAAUAUACCCAAUAAACUAAUAAUGGCUAUGUCUAUUACCGUCUUAUAAUUAUUAAAAGUUUUAUUC